GUCAAGUGACGGCGUGCCUUUUGCAUAAUGAGUCUGCGAGUUAUUGUCUGUGGCAAGCCUAAGUUCUUCUGGAAUGGAGGCGAAGCGAAAGCGAGUGUGAAAUGCGCGUUCAGUGGCAGGCAAUAGACCCGAAGCGGAGGUGAUCUACUCAUGAGCAGGUUGAAGCUGCGGUAACACGCAGUGAAGGACCGAACCGGUGUAUGUUGAAAAAUGCUCGGAUGACUUGUGAGUAGGAGCGAAAGACUAAUCAAACCCCCUGAUAGCUGGUUCUUUCCGAAAUAUAUUUAGGUAUAGCGUCAAUUGUUUAUUGCAUGAGGUAGAG
rnacentral:rRNA from 1 species